GGUGGCCUAGUGGUUAGAGCGUCCGCCUCGGAUGCGGGAGGUGGUGAGUUCAAACCCCGGACGAGUCA